UACGGGGGGAGCAAGCGUUGUUCGGAUUUACUGGGCGUAAAGGGCGCGUAGGCGGCCACCGCAAGUCAGUUGUGAAAUCUCUGGGCUUAACCCAGAACGGUCAGCUGAUACUGCGGGGCUAGAGUGCAGAAGGGGCAACUGGAAUUCUCGGUGUAGCGGUGAAAUGCGUAGAUAUCGGAAGGAACACCAGUGGCGAAAGCGACUUCCUGGUCCAGCAUCGACGUUCAGGCACGAAAGCGUGGGGAGCAAACAGG
rnacentral:rRNA from 1 species